UGUGUUCUACAUGUUUAUCUGAUGGGAAAUAAAGUUGCUAUUGUUUUAUUGCAGUUUCUUGACAAUUCUGAGUGGAUUUACACAGUACGGGUCAAAAUGACCCGCAACAAAAUCAAUGUCACUUUUUUGUUUUUCAACAUAAUACAAGGGUUAAUUUCCAAAACUUCCAUAUGAUCUUCAAUUUGUAGCAGAUCCACUAUCACACAGCAGCUGGAGCAGUUUCAAAUGGAGGUCAGUCCACUACUACCAUAGCCUACUACUAGAUUAACUUGUGACACAUCUGCACCUGCUGCUAUGAUCACAUUGAGUAGAGGCUGAGUGGCUGCACUUACCCCUGGUACAUCCAAAUCUACCCACAAACAUGUUGAAAGAUGCAAUGCCAGCAAUGUGGAUUGUCAACACUAAAAACAAUCAGUAAGCAAAGACAACAGGGAUCACUUUUUUCUGUUUAUUUAGCACCCACAACAUUUGUAGUCGCCUUCUGCACAGGGGAAGUCCACACACACUGUGUGGUACCACUUUCCACAGAAGGUGCAUUUCUGCAAGAUUGAAUGAGAUUGUCAGGGUCAUUGUCUGACUGUUUAUUACUAAUCACCUGCUGUACAUUCACAGUAACUGCCAUCUCCUUACAAAUGUUUAUUAGAUUAACCACACUUAUACAGACUGUAUAUAACAACCAACUCUAAAAUGUUUGUUCGCAGAGAAAAGACACAGACAGACUACACUAACGACAUGUGAUGUUACAACACUAGUGAAAUAUUAGUGUCAUUUCAUUCAUUUCAAAGGUUUAUUUGCAUGACGCACAAACAGACACAAUUGAAAGGUACAAAUGUGUUGUGCAUGAAACGAAUUCAAACGUGGUGCAGAUGUGUGUCACAGGUUGAUCUGGCUGUAGGCUGUGGCACUUGGCCAGAGGUGGCGCUGGUUGACUCGACUCCAUGUUAGUGCACAAAGUAAACUGCUCGCUUUAGUUGUGAAGCAAAAACGCUGAAUUCGGAGAAAUAAACCGUGCGAGGGGAACGAUAACGACGACAAGAGUCUCCCGAUCGUUUACUCUUGCUGUCCUGUGAACAACAUCGGCGUGGUGUUACUUGUUUGCUGUUUUCGCGAUCGCGUCGCGCAUGAGGAUAUCACCAGCAGCUCCUGAAACGCAAGACUGCCACACAUCUGUUCGACCAACGCCAGUUGAUCUAAACGCCAGUAGAUCUGGAACACCGGCAUGCU